CAGGUGGCGGUUGAUUUCGGGCAGCGUCUGGCUUAGUUACUCCGGGAUGCAUCAGAGUUGUCUCCCCUGACAACCCGGCUUAUACGCACCCUCCCUGUCCAAGGAAGAUCAGGACUGCCUUAAGGAUGCAGGAAAAACCCCGAGGCCCAGGAUGUGGGGAACUGGGCGCCCCCUCCCUUACCUCAGGACUGGUCACUGUCGAUGAUCAUCGGUCAAGCAUAACCAAGAGCCUGGACUCUAUUUGUGCACGCGGUCGUCUUCUAGGAACUAGAAAGUCACCUUUCAGGAGUCUGCAUUCCCAGCGGGACCUUCCUCGCUCGUGCCUUCCCUGCCUUCACCCAUGUGUUAGCUACCUGGAAGAGAGUCUGCUAGUAGGACCCGUUGCCGCACUCGUCUCCCCCUCAAGAUGCUCAGUAUUCUCCCUUCACUGCGGAGAGCGGAGCUUGGUCCAGGCAGCAGGAGAAGACAAAGACAAGGCCCUCAUGGGUCAAGGUCCCUUCAAGGUCGAGGCCCACAGGAUCCCUAAGUAGAGAGGGCUGGGCGUGAGCAGGAACCCCACUGCGGGCUCUUGUAGCAGUGAAGAGGAUGGGUCCCGUGCCCUCCUCAAAGCUCACUGCGCACCCAAAGGCUCUUCCAUUUACCAUCAACGUGGAAACUUGGCUCUUCCCAUGAGUAUAUUCUCCCUCUUUUUGUGCAUUAUCUUGUUCCUUAAAACUGCCCUUCCAUGAAGAAGGCCUGUGGGGUUAAGGGGCCUGGCCAGUCACGCAGAGGUGACUGAGCCCCUCAGACCUCAGAUUGGGUAGACAGAUUUAAUAAAGGCGUUAUGACCUUGA